CAGAUCUGAGGUCAGUCAGCCCCAAACCAGGCCUGUAUGCACAGUUGGCCAUGUUGGGUCUGUGUGCAAAGUUUGGUCCAGAUCUGUCAUUGGCUGGGUUCAGUGCUCUCUGGAUAAAGGUGAACUACAACUCCCAGAUCUGAGGUCAGUCAGCCCCAAACCAGGCCUGUAUGCACAGUUGGCCAUGUUGGGUCUGUGUGCAAAGUUUGUUCCAGAUCUGUCAUUGGCUGGGUUCAGUGCUCUCUGGAUAAAGGUGAACUACAACUCCCAGAUCCGAGGUCAAUUAUCCCCAAACCAGGCCUGUAUGCACAGAUGGCCAUGUUGGGUGUCUGUGCCAAGUUUGGUCCAUAUCCAACGUUGGGAAGGUUCAGUGUUGUCUGGAUAAGGGUGAACUACAACUCCCAGAUCUGAGGUCAAUUAUCCCCAAACCAGGCCUGUAUGCACAGAUGGCCAUGUUGGGUGUGUGUGCCAAGUUUGGUCCAGAUCCAACCUUGGAAAGGUUCAGUGCUCUCUGGAUAAGUGUGAUGUUUUAAAAGGUGCUUUUAGGAUGUUUUAAAGAUUUUUUUUAAAAUGAUGUUUUUAAAAUGUUUUUUAAAUUGUUGAUUUUAGCCGGUUCUUGUAAGCCGCUCCGAGCCCUAGGGGAGUGGCGGCAUAUAAGUUUGAAAAAUAAAUAAAUAAAUAAAUAAAUAAACUACAACUCCCAGAUCUGAGGUCAAUUAUCCCCAAACCAGGCCUGUAUGCACAGAUGGCCAUGUUGGGUGUGUGUGCCAAGUUUGGUCCAUAUCCGACCUUGGGAAGGUUCAGUGUUGUCUGGAUAAGGGUGAACUACAACUCCCAGAUCUGAGGUCAAUCAGUCCCAAACACAGACUGGCCAUGUUGGGUCAAGGGAGGGUGUCCGGGGGGUGGGGGGGGGGGUCACCAAAGACCAGAAAAGACAUAUUUAUGAUAGUCACAGGAACUGUGAUGUAGAUGAACUAUAAAUCCCAACAACUACAACUCUUAACGCCAAGGUGUAUUAAUCCCCAAACUCCACCAGUGUUUACAUUUGGACAUAUUGAGUAUCCGUGCCAAUUUUGGUCCAGAUCCAUCAUGGUUUGAGUCCACAGUGCUCUUUGGAUGUAGGUGAACUACGACUCCCAAACCCACCAAACCCUUCCAGUAUUUGCUGUUGGUCAUGGGAGUUCCGUGUGCCAAAGUUUGGUUCAGUUCCAUCGCUGGUGGAGUUCAGGAUGCUCUUUGAUUGAAGGUGAACUAUAAAUCCCAGCAACUAAAACUCCCAAAUGGCAAAAUCAAUCCCAACCCAACCCCACCAGUAUUCAAAUUUGGGCGUAUCGGGUAUUUUUUGCCAAAUUAGCUCCAGUGAAUGAAAAUACAAAAAAAAAAAUCAUUAGAAAGAAAAUUGACUUAUUCUUACCCAGGUUACAUCCGGAAGCCAUGCUAUAUGUAUUUUAGCCCUGCUUUUUGAGUUCUCUAGAUUAAAGGUCAGCAUCGGUCGCCCCAUUUUUAUCAGAAAACAAACAAGAAGUGUGAUAAGAAGCAGCAGAACAGAAUUAAAAAACAAGAUCUUGAGCUGAACUGCUAACCGGAGUAGUUAACCGAAACAAUUACCGUAUAUACUUGAGUAUAAGCCGACCCAAAUAUAAGCCGAGGCACCUAAUUUUACCACAAAAAACUGGGAAAACAUUGAUUCCAGUAUAAGCCGAGGGUGGUAAAUUUCAGAAAUAAAAACAGAUACCAAUAAAAUUACAUUAAUGUAAAUACUCAAGUAUAAGCCGACCCAAAUAUUAGUCGAGGCACCUAAUUUUACCACAAAAAACUGGGAAAACAUUGACUCCAGUAUAAACCGAGGGUGGUAAAUUUCAGAAAUAAAAACAGAUACCAAUAAAAUUACAUUACCGUACAUACUCGAGUAUAAGCCGACCCAAAUAUAAGCCAAGGCACCUAAUUUUACCACAAAAAAACUGAGAAAACAUUGACUCCAGUAUAAGCCGAGGGUGGUAAAUUUCAGAAAUAAAAACAGAUACCAAUAAAAUUACAUUACCGUACAUACUCGAGUAUAAGCCGACCCAAAUAUAAGCCGAGGCACCUAAUUUUACCACAAAAAACUGGGAAAACAUUGACUCUAGUAUAAGCCGAGGGUGGUAAAUUUCAGAAAUAAAAACAGAUACCAAUAAAAUUACAUUACCGUAUAUACUCGAGUAUAAGCCGACCCAAAUAUUAGUCGAGGCACCUAAUUUUACCACAAAAAACUGGGAAAACAUUGACUCCAGUAUAAACCGAGGGUGGUAAAUUUCAGAAAUAAAAACAGAUACCAAUAAAAUUACAUUACCGUACAUACUCGAGUAUAAGCCGACCCAAAUAUAAGCCAAGGCACCUAAUUUUACCACAAAAAACUGGGAAAACAUUGACUCUAGUAUAAGCCGAGGGUGGGAAAUUUCAGAAAUAAAAACAGAAACCAAUAAAAUUACAUUACCGUACAUACUCGAGUAUAAGCCAUCCCAAAUAUAAGCCGAGGCCCCUAAUUUUACCACAAAAAACUGGGAAAACAUUGAUUCCAGUAUAAGCCGAGGGUGGUAAAUUUCAGAAAUAAAAACAGAUACCAAUAAAAUUACAUUACCGUACAUACUCGAGUAUAAGCCGACCCAAAUAUAAGCCAAGGCACCUAAUUUUACCACAAAAAAACUGAGAAAACAUUGACUCCAGUAUAAGCCGAGGGUGGGAAAUUUCAGAAAUAAAAACAGAUACCAAUAAAAUUACAUUAAUUGAGGCAUCAGUAGGUUAAAUGUUUUUGAAUAUUUACAUCAAGCUCAGAUUUAAGAUAAGACUGUUCCAACUCUGAUCAAAGCAUUCUUCUCAUCUUCUUCAAUGUAAAUGUGCUUAUGUAUCCUUUUAAUAAUAAUACAGUAAAAUAAUACAUGUAAUAAUAAUAAGAAAUACAGUAAAAUAAUACAUGUAAUAAUAAAUAGAGUAAAAUAAUAAAUGUAAUAAUAAUAAGAUCAGAGUGAAAUAAUAAAUGUAUUGUUAAUAAUAAUAAGAAUAGAGUAAAAUAAAUGUAAUAGUAGCAACAAUAAUAGACAAAAAUAAUACAGUAGAGUCUCACUUAUCCAACAUAAACGGGCCAGCAGAACAUUGGAUAAGCGAAUAUGUUGGAUAAUAAGGAGGGAUUAAGGAAAAGCCUAUUAAACAUCAAAUUAUGUUAUGAUUUUACAAAUUAAGUACCAAAACAUCAUUUUAUACCACAAAUUUGACAGAAAAAGUAGUUCAAUAUGCAGUAAUGCUAAUAAUUACUGUAUUUACGAAUUUAGCACCAAAAUAUCACGAUGUAUUAAAAACAUUGACUGCAAAAAUUCAUUGGAUAAUCCAGAACGUUGGAUAAGUGAGACUCUACUGUAAAUGUAAUAAUACCAAAAAUAAUAGAGAAAAAUAAUAAAUGUACCAUAUAUUCUCGAGUAUAAGCUGACCCAAAUAUAAGCCAACCAGGACCCUCGCCCCAGUAUAAGCCGAGGGGGGCUUUUUCAGUCUUAAAAAAGGGCUGAAAAACUAGGCUUAUACUCGAGUAUAUACAGUAGCUUAUAUCCAUGUUGUUUUUGAGAAUUGUUAUGCGAUGUAUUGUCAACUUGACAUCACAAAAUUACAGUAUGUUGUUGAAGGCUUUCAUGGCCGGAAUCACUGGGUUGCUGUGAGUUCUCCAUGCUGUAUGGGCCAUGUUCCAGAAGCAUUCUCUCCUGACGUUUCGCCCACAUCUGUAUCGGGCAUCCUCAGAGGUACCUCACAACUUCUGAGGAUGCCUGCCAUAGAUGUGGGUGAAACGUCAGGAGAGAAUGCUUCUGGAACAUGGUCAUACAGACUGGAAAACUCACAGCAACCCAAUAAUAAUGUUAUUGGUUACCUGCCUCUCUUAAUGUCUCGAAGUGGAGUUCAACACUGUCAAAUUAUACAUGUGUAUCUUUAAGAUAUAUUUAAAUACUGGACCCAAGAUAUUGAUAUCACUCAUAGAAUCACAGAGCUGGAAGGGAACCCAAAGGCCAUCCAGUCUGACCUUGUUUUUAUUAUGUGACUUUUUAAAAAAUUCAAGUUUAUAUCUUUUUUAAAAAUGCAGUUUAAUAUCAUGAGGUGUAUUGCUUUGCUAUGUUGCUUUCCAUCUUCCUCUUCCUUUGCGUCUCCUAUGAUGUUCUAAUGUUUUGAUGUUGAUGUUUUAUGCUGGUUUGUAUUAUUAUACUAUCUUACUUGUUUUACCUUGGUUUAAUUAUGCUGUAUUUAAUUAUAUGUUGAAACUGGGCUUGUCCCCAUGUGAGCCGCCCCGAGUCCCCUCUGGGAGGAUGGGAGCAGGAUAUAAAAAUAAUUGUAUUAUAUUAUUAUUGUUAUGUUCUCCCUGUUGGCCUUGCAGCUGCAGGCACCAGCUACAAACCACAACACAAAGCACAAUGGACAGCCAAAUAACAGGAGGAGGGUCUGUAGCUCUCUGUUCUUUACGUUUUAUGGCCAAACAUCAGCUGUUUCAUUCCGACCAUCAAAGAGCCAUUUGUUGUCCCUUGUUUUUCUUGUAAGCAUCAUCUUACGGUUUCUUGGCCUCUGCUGUUCCGUACCACCCAAUAGCUGACUUCUAUCUCUAUCUAUCUAUCUAUCUAUCUAUCUAUCUAUCUAUCUAUCUAUCUGUUGUUGAAGGCUUUCAUGGCCAGGAUCACAGGGUUGUUGGAUGUCUUUCAGGCUGUGUGGCCAUGUUCCAGAAGUAUUCUCUCCUGACGUUUCGCCCACAUCUAUGGCAGGCAUCCCCAGAGGUUGUGAGACAGUCGUUUCUGAAAACUCCUGGAGAUUACAUAACGCGGUCAGCUUGCAAACAAAUAAAUUUCACACAGAUACUGUGAAAUUAUCAGCUAAGAAAGGCAACGGAGACUGCGAAUGCUGCCGUUUCUGCUCAGGUUCAAAAACAUACCUGAUGAUUGCCCAAGUCACAAUGUGGUUUGAUAAAGAGGAAACCACAAAACCAACUUGGCCGCCUUUCACUCCACUCUUUCAGAAGUCUUUAAUAGCUUCACUUUCUAUGCAAGAUGAAUCAUCGCUACGAUGAAAGGCUUGGCAAUCCAUUGCUUUAUUAACGGCAGUGAAAAAAUAUUGCUACUACAGAACUUUCUGUAUACAACUUAUAGUUUAUGUAUCUAGUACUGUACAGUCUUUCCCAAGCGGACCACUGAGACAAAAACUGGAUACAUCGUGGACCAUCAAGAUCAAGAGAACUCCAACAAUAGAAGAAAGGAUUUUGAAAGUACUUGAUAUACAAAUGAACUACUUUUUCUGUCAAAUUUGCUGAACAACAUGUUUUGGUGCUUAAUUUGUAAAAUCAUAACCUAAUUGGAUGUUUGAUAGGCUUUUCCUUAAUGCCUCCUUAUUAUCCAAGAUAUUUGCUUAUCCAAGGUUCUGCCGGCCCGUUUAGCUUGGAUAAGUGAGACUCUAGUGUAUAUAUAUUCAUUUUUUCCCUUCUCUUUAUCCUCUGUAAGUUAUUCACUCUACCUUUCUAUCUACUUAUUUAAUGUUCUCCCACUUUUGAUGUAAUACAUCACAUAAAUCAAAUAUAUAUAUAUAUAUGAUCAAUCAACCCACCACCUGGACAAAAAUAAAUUUAAAAAGUUUUAAAAUAACUAGAAUGCCUUAAUCAUAUUCACAUAUAUUUGUAUAUAUGUAUGUGUGUGUGUGUGUGUGUGUGUGUGUAUAUUAUUUUGUGAUAUAAAGGCAAAACACCAUAAUGAGACUUAAUGAAAAAAAUUAAUGUGAUGUUCGAGUUUGCAUUUCUUUCACUAGGAAGGUAAUCCUAGGAUCGAUGCUAUUGCUCAAUGCCAUGCGCAUGCCAUGGAAUUGAGGAAUAGUUGACUGGAUCUUGAUAAAUCACCACUGACCAAGAGUUCAUGAGUUCAAAGCCAUCCUGGGUUGGAGAAAACUCCUGACCAUUUAAUAACCUUGCUUGCUGUUGACCUAUGCAACCGAAAGACAGUUGCAUCUGUCACGUAGGAAUUUAGGUACCGCUUUAUGCGGGGAGGCUAAUUUAGCUAAUUUACGACACCAUAAAAUUUCCAGCAGCGUGCAGAAGAAUGAGGAAGUACGCCCUGGACUGAAAAUGACAUUUACCAUUGGCAGCGGCAGUGAUGGAAAGACAUUAGUAUUUCUCUCAGAAAAUAUCUCAGAUAAACAAACUCAAAUCAUGGAGGCAGAUGUGUGCUUCAGAAGCAUUUUAAUUUAUAAACAGCAAUUCCCAUUGACUUUAUACCAUAAAAAAGGCAAUUUACAAGCAAGGAACAAGAAAUCCAUCAGAACAAAAUAAUAAUAAUAAUAAAGCAGCACUGAAAUAUUCAUGUCACAAAAAUCUAGAAACAACAACCCAAUUUUUUUUUCUCGAGUACAAGAGUAAAAUAUCAUUUGGAAUAAAUAUUUUUAAAAUAUCCCAUGCUAUAAAAUAAUCCUUAAUGGCAAGUUAGUUGCUUUGAACAGCAUCCGCUUUAGCUAGCUUCAUUUACUUCAUUUGGUGAUGAAGUGUGGAGUUUUUGUGAGGUUACCGGUUUUGUAUUGCAAGGUAUUUUGACACUGAGGUAAGUCAUUCAAAGUGUUCAAAGAUUCACGAGGAAAAACAAAAAAGCGAUCCAUAAAAUGAGUUUACUUAAAAAAUACCAUUUUCUCCCUCUUGGGAAAAGCAAAGAAAGCCAUGCAAAUCGGUCAUGAGUUUUCUCGUUCAAUCAAAAAGUGUGUAAACAAAGCCUUCAGCAAAGUCCAAAGACUCGCCGCUCGGUUGGCCAGUGGUUUCCCACCUUCCAAAUUCAGUUUCUAUCUCUUGAGAGCCUUUGUGGCUGAAGAAGAAGGUUUAAAUAUACUCUUAAAAUGAAAUGAAUCAAUGUAUCUUGGAUUCCAAUACCAGGAACCUAUUCUGGGAGAGAAGCAGAGGAAGGCAGAACAAGGUCUAACGCCAGAUACUUGGCCAAAGGACUACAGCUCUGUGUUGUCGAAGGCUUUCAUGGCCUGAAUCACUGAAUUGCUGUGAGUUUUCCAGGAUGUAUGGCCAUGUCCCAGAAGCAUUCCUUCCUGACAUUUCAUCCACAGGCCAAUGAAGACUCCACCACAGACAUCAGAAGAGCGGCAAGACCAAGAACAAGACACGAAAGUAAAGACAAAAGACCCACCCAGAGGAAAAGUGUUCUUACCAUACACCAAGGGAACCACUGACCACAAAGGGAAGCUGAUGAAGAACACAACCUACAAACUAUCUGCAGACACAACAAGAAAAUCCAACAAAUGCUACAUUCAGCAAAGGACAAGAGGAAUCCUCUCACCUCCGCAGGAGUCUACUGUACACCAUGCAGAUGCGGACAAGUUUACAUAGAGUUGUUGAAGGCUUUCACAGGGUUGUUGUGUGUUUUCCGGGUUGUAUGGCCAUGUUCCAGAAGUAUUCUCUCCUGACGUUUCGCUCACAUCUAUGACAGGCCUCCUCAGAGGUUAUGGAGCAUACAACCUCUGAGGAUGCCUGCCAUACAUGUGGGCAAGAAUGGUCAAACAGCCAGGAAAACACACAACAACCCAGUCUACAUAGGGACGACCAAACGCAGCAUUGCCCAGACGCAAAUCAAGGAACACGAAAGGCACUACAGACUAACUCAACCAGAGAAGUCAACCAUAGCAAAGCACCUGAUGAACCAACCUGGACGUAGCAUAUUAUUUGAGAACACAGAAAUGUUGGACUACUCUCACAACGAUGUCAGACUACAUACGUGUUUCCCCGAAAAUAAGACAGUGUCUUAUAUUAAUUUUUGCUCCCAAAGAUGCUCUAGGUCUUAUUUUCAGGGAUGUCUUAUUGUUCCAUGAAGAAGAAUUCACAUUUAUUGUUGAACAAAAAAAUGAGCAUUUAUUAUAUACUGUACAGUAGUUGUCAUCACAAACCAGCAUAACCAGGCAAACUGUGAAUCCUAUCAAGAAUUUCUUGUUACUACCAUUAUUUCCAUGUACAACUGGUAUGUACAUUUACCAAUCCUGCAUGCUCUGGUGUUCUGUUUGGCAGGCGCUGGGUAAACUUCCAAACAAAAACUUUGCUAGGUCUUACUUUCGGGGAGGCCUUAUAUUUAGCAAUUCAGCAAAACAUCUACUAGGUCUUAUUUUUAGGGGAUGUCUUAUUUUUGGGGAAACAGGGUAUAAAAGCCAUUGAAAUUCAUAAGCAGGUAGAUAAUUUCAACAGAAAGGAGGAAACCAUGAAAACGAACAAAAUCUGACUACCAAUAUUAAAUUUCUAGAAUCAGGACAGUAAAUAAAGAACAA